UUCAUAGGUGGCGAACGUUAUCCGGAUUUAUUGGGCGUAAAGGAUGCGUAGACGGUAAAACAAGUUAUUGGUCAAAGUCAAGCUCAACUUAACUGAGGCUAGUAAUACUAUUUUGCUAGAGGAUGAAAGAGAUUAAUGGAAGUCUACGAGAAAGGGUGAAAUCUGUUGAUCCGUAGAGUACCACCAAAAAGGCGAAAGCAAUUAAUUAUUUCAUUUCUGACGUUGAGGCAUGAAAGCGUGGGGAGCAAACCGG
rnacentral:rRNA from 1 species